rnacentral:rRNA from 1 species
UACAGAGGGUGCAAGCGUUGUUCGGAAUUAUUGGGCGUAAAGGGAGUGUAGGCGGUUCUUUAAGUCUUCUGUGAAAUCUACGGGCUUAGCCUGUAACGUGCAGAGGAAACUGGAGGGCUUGAGUGUCGGAGAGGAAAGGGGAAUUCCGGGUGUAGCGGUGAAAUGCGUAGAUAUCCGGAGGAACACCGGUGGCGAAGGCGGCUUCCUGGACCGACACUGACGCUGAGGCGCGAAAGCUAGGGGAGCAAACGGG